UGAGAGCAAUUGGACUGUCUCAAAUUUUUCAUUCGUAAAUAUCCAAAGGUAUUUCCUUUUCUUUGCUGAUUCAUAGUUGUUGACUUGUUGACUGUGCUGAACCCAGCUUUAUUAUUGGAUUGCAUUGAGCUAGUGUUGAGGCCAUGGGCCAAAAUGCCAGCUAAGCUAUGAUUUCAAUGUCAUUAAAUAUGCCAAUCCCUGUCGUCAUCAACCAGAGCUUAAGAAGUCUAUUGCCAUUGAUCACCCAAGUCCAGAAGGCAUUUCAUUUAGGGAAGAGGAAAUAGAAGAACAUGGUGGUUCUUCAGAUCCUCAUAUUCUAAGAUCUCAUGAAGCAUAUGACAUCGACAGAAGCUAAUAAGCCACAGUCCAACCCCCCAGAAGAAGGAACCAGGCGAGAACAUGGAUUUUGAUUUUGAUCAAGUCUUGCAUGAUGCAUACUCUGAUAUAAUUGCUCAAAUUAAUCCUGAUGAUUUUCUUGAUUGGGAAGGUUACUUUUCCAAGGAAGUGAAAUCUGAAGAAAGAAUAGAUUGUUUAGAUCUUGGUAGAGUUUUUCCAAUGGAGGAAUUAGAGGAAGGGGAGAUUCCUGGGUGCUGAACAAUUGAAUGCUCAUUGAUCUGUUCAAGACGAAUAAGAGCUCAAAAUUGAAGAAUCAUUUCCCUAUUAUUAUUUCUAAACAUUAUGAAGUGCAAAGUCCUCAAUUCUCCAUGCAUGACACAUUCCCAUUUAGAUAGAGCCUAAGGAGGCUGUGAAUUGAGUGAUUGUGGGCACUAUACCUCCAUUGCUUUGUGAUCAAUGGCAAUUUUUAUGGUUGAAACUGCAGUCUCUGUUGAUGGGGUUUCUCAAGUUCUGAAACCGCCUGGCUUCUUGAUCAUCAUCGGAUUUCUUAAGAGGGCCCACACAUUGAUGUCUUGGAGCAGCACUUACUGUAAGUUAUUUAUGGUCUUGUCAUUUUGUUUCUCUCCAGUGUCAAACUUUCUCUUCUUCCAGAAUGUUGUUACUUCAAACAAUUACUAUGAUUCAUUUAUACAUUAAUUAGCUAUAGUACCUUUUAUCUCA